AGGAGGACGACGACGACGACGACACUGUGUUUGAAACACUGGUGGAAACCACAGUAAACACACCUUACAGGACAUAGAACAUAAAGUCCUGCAGCACAACGCAAUACGUGUCCAGUACAGUUCAUGCAGCAAAGACAGUAGUUGCCUCUUCCUUGACAACGGUCCACCGCCCUGCCAAUGCUGCCGUUUCCUGUUGGUCGAAAAUCUUCGCAGCAGAGAUGAUGUGAAACAGACCAUGGUGGACCAGCCCUGGGAGGUGUGCAGGGCGGCAGGGUGGGGCACCAAACAGGCUCCCACUCACUGUGUGGGACUGAAUCAUCUCGGGAAGGCCACAGUGGAGCAUCGCAUCGCUGGAUCGGACGCAGA